CUUGCAAACUGAAGAUGGCGACCGGCGCACGGGUGAGUAACACGUAUCCAACCUACCGAUAACUCCGGAAUAGCCUUUCGAAAGAAAGAUUAAUACCGGAUAGCAUACGAAUAUCGCAUGAUAUUUUUAUUAAAGAAUUUCGGUUAUCGAUGGGAUGCGUUCCAUUAGUUUGUUGGCGGGUAACGGCCCACCAAGACUACGAUGGAUAGGGGUUCUGAGAGGAAGGUCCCCCACAUUGGAACUGAGACACGGUCCAAACUCCUACGGGAGGCAGCAUG
rnacentral:rRNA from 1 species